AGAGCCUGAGAAGGGAAGGGAGUGUCGAGAUAAGAUGGGUUCCGAGGUCUGUCUCAGGUGUCGGGUUGUCGCCGGGAUAAUGGACUCGGUAGAGCAGGUGUCGUGAGUCACUGAGACUCGCUGACGAUGCCGGGAAGUCACCGAGCAGAAGUCUCUGGGUCUAUGAUGGGAAGCCGGGUGUAGUGAGGCCUUGUGAAUUUGUCGAGGUGAGUAGUCGAUAGCGGGAUGGCCUUAAGUCGAGAAACUGUCAAUUUCAGGACCGCCUUGGGGUGAGAAGCUGGGACGCGGCGAACUCGCCUCGAGAGCCUGGUUUACGAAUUUGUAGUCUGUGGUUCAUGGAUGAGUGAUGGAGAUCGAGCCCAGAUUUGGGUGCCCAAAUAAGUUUAUGGGUUCACUAGCAGUCGGCGCGUGAGACACUUCCGGGCAGCGACGGCUAAAGGAGAGGUCAGGUUAGACUCGUCGGAGGUCUCUGAACCCAAUUAUGGUGGAGGUAAGGGGCGGUGGCGCCUCUAAAUCAUGGGUGGAGGAGAGAAUGAAAACUCAGAUCUACUUUCUCUCUCCUCUGUAAAUAGGAACCCAACUGCGUAAACUUGAAAACCCAGAAGAGAUAAGGUUUGAUUUGAUGCCAUGGAGGUGGAAAUCAAAGAGAGAAAUGAGAGAGGAGAGUUCUUUGAGAGUGAGCAGAGAGAGCUGCGUCACCGAAGAGGAAGAAACAAGGGUGGCUGGAAAAAAAAAUACGGCGAGAUAAUGGUUAGAGUACCCGUUUGGUAAGCGGGUUCGACUCUCAACGAACCCAGCAGCUGACUUCUCUUGUGUCUUCUUCGAUAUGUGAAUUUCCAUGGCUUCUCUUUUUUGUUGUACCUGCAUUUGAUAAGCACCACCCUUCACUUCCAGAACUUGAUGAGCACCCCUCUUCACCUCCAAAAGGCCAAUACUAUGUUGGAAACUUGGAAUACCUUUGCCCAUUGAAACUUAUCUUUUAUCUCUUCCUCCUGACGCCGCACCCCGACCUACACCUUCGCCAAAUCACGACUUCGCCGUUUAGCCACCAAAUCGGACGCCAUCAGUUCCGUAGGGUUCGCACGGCCACCCCUUCCACAUCUGGGGUGGUGUCGCACAAUACGUUGCACCGGAGAAGAAGCUUUUGGACGGAGAAGUAGCUGGGUUCGUGCCUAGCCGGAGUUCGCGUUUUUCGGUGGAAACUGAUCAAGCACCAUUGUACCCAGAUUUUAAGGCUAGAAGGUGGAUUGGACAGAUUGGAGUUUGUUCUUGGCAACGUCUGAUUUUGGGCAAUUCCGGCCGAUUCCGGCCAAAUUGGGUCAACCCUUAAGUGAUUCAGGGAGUUCAGCUUGUGCUCGGCUUCGUGUGGAGUAAGACAUAGCGAGACUGUGAGGUGAGUAAAACUCACUUUGUUCAUGAAGGAAGCAAUAUUUAAUUUAUAGUUCAUUCUUUCUAAAUUGUAAAAGAUUGCGGUUAUUGAGACCUCCAGAUUUACUCAGUGUACCUCCAUGUCUUUUACACAUUCAUUUUAUUUUUAAAAACAAGCAUUUGCUCAUUAAACCUCUUUUCAAAUUCCUAAAAUAACCUUAAGUUUGUUAUUCAUAUAUAUUUCAAUAAUUUACUCAUUAUACUUUUUAUUCGCUCUUCAGACCUCUCACACUUUAAUUUUUCUUUUUCUUUUUGCAUGCAAACAUCUAUUUUAGGUCUCGAUUGCUUCAUUUCUUUUUUCUUCUUCUCUUUUUUCAUGAAAACCUCUUUCGCAACCUUAAUCCCUUGUUGUUUUUUUUUUGCAUAGAAUGUCAUUAACCUCUAUUAUUUGAUCAAGUUGUAAGAACGAUUUUUCAAUGACAACAAUUGAAAAAAAAAUAUUCAAAUCAUGAAUUGCAAUUGCAACGCAAUAAAAUACACAAAUUCCAAUAUAUGAAACAUUAUUCCAAGCAUCUAUUAAUAAAAAAAUUCUCAACAUAACGAAAAAAUAUUCUAAUGAUCUUCAAGUGUGACAGUCUCGGAAACUGUAGUAACUCUUUCUAGAUGGGGUAUUUGAGUAUAGAGAUGCAAACGAUUAAUAUAUCUACUGUAUAAUGAUUUUGCUUUGUCAUCAGCAUGGCGGUAUCAAUUUGGUGGAACCGGUGGUAAUGGACAUCCUGCUACCAACGAUUCCUAUUAAAAAAAGCAUAUGAUUAGUUUAGACUUUAUAACUAAGCAAAUGCAUAAAGAUGUAAUGAUAGUACUUACUUGCACAAAGUGAUUUCCAUUAACAAAACCAAUACCAAGUUCAGGCAGUUCUUGAUUUUGAAAUCUUCCAAUGAUGUGUUCCAUCAAAGGAAGAAAGGUCAGGCACUGUCCAUCAGAUAAGUUUAUAACAACAACUCCGUAACAAGUAGCAAUCAGAUGCCCCAUAUCAGUUAUACACAUCAAUUUUCUACGUGAUGCAGUGGAUCCAGAAUGGUGAAUUCUUUGUUUGAUUUUCUCAACACCGUCUUCGCUGCCGUAUAGUUCCCUGUACAAGUGAGGCAUACUUUUGAGCUCAUUCAUUAGGUCAAGUCGCACCCUUCUCUAAGAACGCCUACCGAAUCCCAUAAUGGAUGCUGCAACUCUAUAACCACAAUUACCAUCAUCUUCAACAUCAAAUGAACCUAAGAUGUAGGGCCUCAUGCCAAAAAUGAAUUGUGAUGUAUACUUUUGUGUUAACUCAAAUCGUGAAGUGUUUUGACUCAUGGAGAUAGGCUGCACAAAAAUCAAUAUGUAUUAGCUAUUUCAGUUGCAAUUAAAACUUUUACUAACUUAUCAUAUAUCACAAUUGAAAGACAUACUGGAUUUGUCUCUGGAUGCUUGUCUGAUUUUGCUGAAGACAAUACAACCGUAGGAGAAGCAUUAACCUUUUCUGAUAGUACUUAUGACUGAUUUUGAAUGAGACUAGCUUUAGCAAUCUCAAAAACAAAUGGUAGACGAUGAGUGCUACUGUCAAUCUUAGGACGCCCUUUGGUUUUAAUCUUCUCACUUGGUUGUUGAAGCAUUGUCGAACUUGGAGUUAUAAUCUCGUCUAUUUUCAACAAGACCUGUCUAUUUUCAACAAGACAUGUCUCCUCACGUUUUGUAUCGUUAACUUGAAGAAAAAAAAAGGAAGAAUACUAAUCUGAUUAUAAUUUAUUUUAUUUUUUUGGUGAAAUUCAAUGUCUAUUACUGUCAUUUUGUAUGAGGUUAUAUUUGUAAUUCAAUAAGUCAAAACAUGUGGAGGUACACUGAGCAAAUCUGGAGGUCCCAAUAGCCGCACUCUAUCAUUUUCUAGGAAAUGAAGUUUUGUUUUAAAAAUAAAUGAAUUUGAUCGACUACGGUUCAUGGGUAAGUAAAAUGAUUUUCUUUUAAAAACGAUUUUUAAGAGGUUUGCGAAUAUGAACUGUAAAUGGUAAUAUUGGUGAUUAUGGGCGAAUGCCUAUUAUGUGUAUAUUUGUGCCUGGUGAAAUAUGUGCCUUGCUUAAUGUGAUAUUGUGUGAGGAGUGAUGAUGGUUUGAUUUAUCUUUGGUUAUUGUGCGAAGAAUUGUUGGGUUGAAAUAUCAUAUAUCAUAUGUUGAUUGAUAUAUUAUUGUAUGGUUUGAGUCGAGUUGGAAUUCAUGUGUAACUUGGUGAUUGUUCCUGUGUGGCGGUUUUGAUCUUCCUUAGUGGCGAAAAGAUCUUUUCCUGUGUGACUGUUUAGAUCUUCCUUAGUGACGAAAAGAUUUUUCCCGGUUAGGAUGAAUUAGUUAGAGAUCUAGUCUGUCGUCGUGUGGCGUAUGGAGGAUGACAUUGGGUCAUUGUGCUCAUGUGUGUGUCCUUUAAAUUAGAACGAGAGUCUAUAUGCUUUUCUUCUAGUGUUAUUGGCCAAGAGACAUGAUUUUCUGGAGUUUAAAGUUGUGAGUUUACAAGAAUGAUUUUUGAUUUGAUUUUGAGUUGUCGGGUUUUCUUAUUUAUUUUCAUUGAACUCUCUUGGUUUUAGAACUAAGUUUUCAACGCAGGAUUUUCUGAUUUUCCCUUGAGUGAUUAUAUUUUUAGUUGUAUGUAUUCCAGUUUAAAUGUUGUUUUUUAUUAUUUCUCAACUUGUGGAAGUUAUGUGUAAUUGUUGUACGAGUCAUUUCAAUUUGAUUUACUCAUACGAGCUUUAAGCUAACCGGGUUUGUUGUUUUACAACCCGGUGCACAAACCAAUGGUGUAGUCGGUUAUUCCUACAUGUCAUGAUGAGCAGGAUUCAGUCAGAUUAUUAUGGGCAGAUUUAUUAGGUGAAAGAGUUGUGGUUAUUAUUUUGUUGGUUUGUAUAUGCUUUAGAGAGCGUUACAUUUUAUUUGAAUUAUCAAGUUUAAGUGAAACGAAAACAUGUAAUAUUUGACUCAAGGUAUGAGUCUAUUUUGACAUUUGAAAGUUGUUGG
rnacentral:lncRNA from 1 species